AGCCAAAAAAAAACGUAUUACAUACUAGUCGCCGCGCUUCAGUGAAACGCCAAUAAUAGCGAAUCAUUUAUUGUUCUUGGUUGUUCUCAGAAAAUGUGACCGCCUUCAUAUGUUCAUCGUUAGAGCACCCCCUGGGCCCGCAGGUGGAACCAACUGCACGAUGCAGUCUGACUGCCAUUGUGACAGGGACACACCCCACUGUGUGGACGGGCAUUGCAUGUGUGGCUGUAGACCGGGACCGGGUGGAAAAUAAACAUGUGUGACUUGUUAAACUGUUGUAAGUGCAUGUAAUUAUCAUCGCUCAAUGUCAGGAUGGAAAAUGAAAAACAUAAAUAUUAUUUAUGUGAAAAAACAACUUUCGAUAUCCAGUUGUCAACCAUAAUGCUAAAAAUCUUAUUGGGUUGUUAAUCAUUUUGUGUGCGUAGUUUACUAUAAGCAUUCCGUGGGCAGAUCGUAUUGAAUAAAGUUCAUCAAAUCAAUAUUAGUCUAACGUUUGUUUCCUUCCAUUACUUCGCGUCUUCUGUUCAAGUCCAAUUUACACAUGCAGUUUGAUAUAUCGGAUUAAACCCUUUCAAACUGGAUACGAAAACUGGAUAUGUAAAACACGAGAUUAUCUAGAAUGUAUUUAUCAUUUAAUUAUGAUCAUUGAUUAUUUUAGCAUUAUUGACAUAAUUAUGAAAAUUGUAAUUUCACAGAUAUGUCAUUUCAUCACAUCUUUAUCGCCCAUUGGUGUGGAUUAUAAUCGCUCCUUGCGAACUUUCCCUAAGUUUACGAAUGAAUUCGCCAUAUUUUCGCAAUAGUUCAUACUCAGAUAAAAGGCACGCACAUUCAAUUAUUAAAAUUGUAAUUUCCACCUCAUUGAAUAUGCAUAUGAUGGGUAAAAACGUACACGCCAGGGCUGGCAAGUUCAACUUUAGAGGCAUUUUUUUAACACAUGCGGUUGAGGGCGAUGCUGCAUACCAUACAUCAAACGUUCGAUUCUUGGGGUUUAAACAUUCAGAUUUUUUUUAAGUGUUUACUAUACACGUUUAAGGACAACACAAAACAAGUUACUUCAAGGGUGGGUAACCCAAGUUGCAUGAUACGAACAAACUUUGUUGAGGACCACCACUGGAUGUUGCAUAUAAUAUGCAUUACCGAAAUAACUCUAAGAUAUCUGACACUCUAAAGUUUUGGAACCAUCUUUUUAGGCAAAUUAUUACUUUUUGUGACUUAUCUUUUCGAAUGUAUUAUUUACAUUUUGCUCUGUAAGAACCCAAUCUAUGGUCUCAAAAAGAUAAAGUUUAUCUUUUUUUCCUCUUAUUACUUCCAAACGUGUUUUAUUAUCAAAACAGAAUGUUGCUGUAUCUUUAAUUUACAAUAUGUAUGUACAGAUACCUAAAAUGACGUAACAUGCCUCACCAUUAACCAGCUAUAUAUUUCUUUUUAUUGUUUUAUAUGUGGAAUGAUGGGUAUUUUGCUUUUUUCCUGAAUAAAGCAUAUCUAUCUUU